AUUGAACGCUGGCGGCAUGCCUUACACAUGCAAGUCGAACGGUAACAGGUCUUCGGAUGCUGACGAGUGGCGAACGGGCGAGUAAUACAUCGGAACGUGCCCGAUCGUGGGGGAUAACGAGGCGAAAGCUUUGCUAAUACCGCAUACGAUCUACGGAUGAAAGCGGGGGAUCUUCGGACCUCGCGCGGACGGAGCGGCCGAUGGCAGAUUAGGUAGUUGGUGGGAUAAAAGCUUACCAAGCCGACGAUCUGUAGCUGGUCUGAGAGGAUGAUGAGCCACACUGGGACUGAGACACGGCCCAGGCUCCUACGGGAGGCAGCAGUGGGGAAUUUUGGACAAUGGGCGAAAGCCUGAUCCAGCCAUGCCGCGUGCAGGAUGAAGGCCUUCGGGUUGUAAACUGCUUUUGUACGGAACGAAAAGCCUCUUUCUAAUAAAGAGGGGUCAUGACGGUACCGUAAGAAUAAGCACCGGCUAACUACGUG
rnacentral:rRNA from 1 species